UUGACCACGCCCACUACGUUUCCCCGGAAUCCCCGCCACUGCCACCGCAGUCUGACAGAAGAGCGAGCGAGGUUGUAUCAUGGCGAGCAACAGGUCGUUUACUGGGAAGAAGAUUUGGUGUUGAUGGAGGAGGCAACAUCUUCAAGGCAAAACCUUAGACCUCAUUCAACAUCAUCCAAUGUUGCAAUCACCCUCAGGAGGCACUUGAAGACCAGUGUCCAAUAUGCACAGGAACAUUUCCAGUGUCAGAAGUAGAACUGCCAUGCCAGCUUUUGUGGAGAAAGACUGCGGUGGCAGUGGCGGGGAUUCCGGGGAAACGUAGUGGGCGUGGUCAACCUGUGACUUCACUCGAGAGUGACCAGUAGAAAAAGGCCUUUCAUCCUGGUGGGUAGAGACCGCCCACUGAGAGACAGCUUCACUCGCAAGCAAAACUUUUCAACUUGCAAACAAAAGUUUUAGACCCGCAAAAAAAGACGGCAGAAAAGAGUCACAUUUGUGGUAUCGCGAUGAAA